UAUUAUUAUUUGUACGAACCGCAGACAACAGGCGGGGGAAUGGCGUAAGAGCUGGCAGUAACGGUCAGAAGGCACGUCGGACUCUCUUAAAAGACAAGCCUGUCGAGGAUCAGAUACUGGAACAAUACAGUGUAUUGUAAUAGUAAAAACAGAAGAAAUAAUGUUUUGUCUGAUGAUUUUGCGGUUGUAUGCAAAAUCAUUUUUUGUAUGCAAAU
rfam:Clostridium sp. CAG:306 genomic scaffold, scf115